ACUCUCAGACAUUAUCCUCUAAUGGACUGCCUUUUGAGUGAGGAGGAGUAUUUGGACAGCCGCUAAAUUUAUUAGUAGGUCAGUUGUUCUGUAAGGUUUGCAGGAAGAGUCAAGAGAGCAGGAUCUAAGUGCAGCUUUGAUUUAAUCAGAAAAUGUGUCCAGAUACAAAACUUGGAAAAUGCAGGAACAAAACAAAACUAAAAUCACGGGAACACGGGAACAGAACAAACAUCACAUCCAUGGGGGUAACAGGAAACAACAAUUGACCAAGACUGAGCAAACACAAGGACAUACAGUAUAUACACUGGGGCAAAGAUACAGCUGGGAACAAUCAGGGCAGGAAAAAGGAACAGAGACACAAGAAGAGCCGGCCAGAUCCAGCUCCGUUCCUGCUUGAUGUCAGACUCCACUGCUACGUGUCUCUGAGUGAUGACGACAAACUACAGCCAGUGCCAGCCAGACAUCACUUCAGUCUGUUACGAUGGACUUCAGAGGAUGAACUGAUGCCAACUCCAACUGUAAGACAUCGGAUACUUCAAAUGCCAUUGCCUGAACCUUGGACUUAGGAUAGGACCCCACCAAACCUCACCAAAAUCACCUGCCAGUUGAACUGUGAUGCACCUCACUGAUCUCUGCCUGAACCUUGGACUUAGGAUGGACCCCACCGAACCUCACCGAAAUUACCUGCCAGUUGAACUGUGAUGCACCUCAGUACUUACUGUAUUCUACUCAAGAACAUUCCGAUCUGUAUAAUGUUUUGACCGUAUGUUUGACGGUAUGGUGGAGUAAAUAAUCAUAUUUCAUAAGUUAUGAGAACGAAACACUUUUGUAUUUGUCAGCAGCUCUGGGAAAGAGAAUCAAGGGGGACACAUCUGUAUAAUAUUCAAACACAGGCUGGUGCUGACAGGGUUAAAUAUGGCAACAGAUGAAAGGAUGUUAUUAUACCUUGACUGCAUAUUGGGAAUUCAAUGUGAAUCAACAAUACUUCAACAAUACUCCGGGUCCUUUUAAGUAAUGGCCCAAAGCAAUCAAGAAUAUAUAAUGACUUGUUCAGUUAUUAGAAAGAGACUGAACUGGAUUUAGGACAUACUGUUGUUCUCUCUUUUGCUCCUUUCAAACUGUUUUUUUCACUCAGAUCUGUAGGUAACAUAGGUACAUUUAAAACUGAGAAACGGCUUGUAGAAAACAAACUCUGAAGAUUUUAGACGCCUAAACUUAAGAAUGCAGAGUAUUUCACGGACACAUAUCAAUGGACUUUGGACGGACUAUCUUGUGGACAAACUGCGGAAUCAACAGUUGUGAUAUAUAAUGUUUAUCACUUACAUAAGGUGAGUUGUUCAAUUUACACAUGCCGUUCAUCCGUUCUUUUAAGUACAAAUGAACAAACACUGUAAUUAAUAUUGAUAGGAUGUCCUGAUGCCCUUUAUAAUAGUGCUAUUAGAGCAGGCACAUUCCUCAUUGAAGUCUGAAGUAAAUUUCUUUAGAUCAGCGUUUCUGAAACUUUGGGUCACAUAGACAUACAUGUAUUUUAAUAUUAGUGUAAUUAUUUCCUUAGUAAAAGUAACUGUAAUUGUUUAAAGCUGUAAAUGCACUCUGUGGCCGUGACUGUUUUAAAUGCUUCAUAUCAGGUGACAGAAGUUGAUCACUGGUCAGAAUGACCAUCACAUUGUUUGUUUGUUUGUUUUUUGGCUAUAUGCUCUUUUUAUAAUGUGUUUUUUCUUCUUUAAAGACGAAACUGAUCUCUGCUUGAAGAAGAACACUGAAAUACUAAACAUUUUCAACAAAAGGUUUUUUCCCAUCAGCAUGUGAGAUUGUGCAUGUUUGAAUACUUUUGUCACUUGAAAGUCGAUAUCUGAUUAUGUCUCUUAACUCGAGCAUUAUUAAUGGUGAUUUAGUAAUCCAUAAAAAGAGAACGGAACUAAAGAUACGGGGCGUCAGUUUAAAAUCAGUGUAUUUUUAUUUUAUAAUCUGGCAACUCUUGUACUGAUAUUUGUCAGAUAAGACCAUGCUAGUGUUAGUAGUUUCAGACCAUGUUUUAAGUACUUACUGGGGCACAUGAGUCAAUGUGAAGGACACAUUUGUGGUGUUCACCCUUCUCCAUUUGAAAGAUUGGGAAGUAUUUGCAUGUUGUUAGCAGAAACAAUGUAUCUGGUGUUUGGGUGAAGGAUGGUGUGUGCUUCUGGCCUCCAUAUACAAGUGAAGCAGUUCAGAGAGCAACAAAGACUUUGGAGCGACCUCAAGACCCAAAACUCAUGUGCACUUAUAAACACCAAUACCGUACAUAUAAAUAUACUUUUCAUAAUCAAGUGACUUAUUAAACUAAUGUUAAUAGUAACAGUAAACAUUAAUCAAACAAAUUAAACAUCAUAGCAUGUUUCUGAUUUUUCAGCUCUGUCAUUCACAGACUGUUAUAGUGAAUUACGACAGAUCUUCAGUCUGAGGAAGAGAUGCAUUCGCUGAAGCCACUAAAAAGGAAAACCAAAUGAAGCUGGCACUUGCUUGAUGAUUAUGAUUGUGAUGGGGAGGUUUAUGUUUCACAAAAGUGUUACCUCAACUCACUCAAAAAACACAAGCAUUCAAACGAAGCGGUUCUUUAUCGUUUGAUGAAUCACAACACAACAGUUCAUCAAGUUCUGUUGUGAGCUUAGUUCCUGCUUAGACCUGAUGCUGUGAUCCAUCCUCAAGAUCACUGCUAUAUGAAACUGGAAAUAAUGAUGGAGCAAAGGAGGAACCAAAGUGUUGUGGAAGAUCAGCACAGCUGUACAUCGUUUGGAGCAAAGUGUCUUCCCAUUGAGGACUUUAGAUGUUUUGAAGGUAAAGAGAUAUUAAGCUGUUCUGAUGGAGUUAAUUUCAUCAUCCAUCCCAAAAUAACCACUGUAGAAAGACUUCAUAUGAAGUGUGGAAUGUUCUAGAAGAAUUGGUCCUCUCUAUAUAAUAUUUUGACUCUGUAUGCAUCAUUCCUGUGAAGUGUGGACAAAGAAUAGAAGGUCUUCUUAUUUUCUACAUGGUUGAAAGAGUUUCACCUCAUGAUAGAGUGACAGGAAUAUUUCUCAAGUAUCACUUCAGUAAAAAUAAUUUAUAUGAAGAUGACACUUUAAACUGGAGGUCCUCAGCAAGAAUGUGUCAUUUACUUUGCCAAACCAGCAGUUUUAUGUAAAACCACCACUAUAAUUUAAUACAGUUGGCACAUUCAUAAAAUAACUUCAUAAAGCACAUAUCAACAUAUAGACCAUAUCACAAAAAGCACAAAAAGUGAAAAUGUAGGGUUAUUUAGGGAUGCUUGCCAACUCAAGGCUGUGAUGAUCUGUCUGCUCUGGAGAUUACUGUAGUUGAAAAUAAAACACUAAACGUGGCAUAAUAUUACAGUAAUGAUCAUAAAAGUUGCGCAUGAAUAUAAACUGGUUUGAGUUUGACCGCCGACGAGAAAAACAGCUGAAUAAUUAAUUUUUCAUAAGAACAACAAGAUCUCCAUGUUUUAAUGUGAGGCUGUGGCUCAGGUGGUAGAGCAGGUUGGCCAUUAAUUGCAGGGUUGGUGGUUUGAUCCCGGUCCACAUGACUCCACAUGCCGAAGUGUCCUUGGGCAAGACACCGAACCCCCAGUUGCACCCAAUGGCAGGCUUGCACCUUGCAUGGCAGCUCUGCCAUCAUUGGUGUGUGUGUGUGUGAAUGGGUGAAUGAGACACAGUGUGUACUGCUAAGGUUAAUAAAUGUGCUAUAUAAGUGCAGACCAUUUAAUAAAAUAAUGCAAAGUACAAUUCCACUCUCAAGAGAAAUUUCUAGCUGGUGCCACAUCAUCAUCAGAAGUUGUGACUGAAGAGAUCCAGCAGCACAUGAA